ensembl:lncRNA
CAUUAUAUUGCUUUUUCUUACAACCAUUGUUUUGAAUUCUAAUUCUGGAAUUUCAUAUAUUUCUUUCAGAUCAGGAUCUGAUUCUAGAGAAUUACUGUGUUUUUUUUGGAGAUGUCAUACUACCUUGGUUCUUCAUGUUUUCUGUGUCCCUACAUUGAUAUCUGUGUAUCUGGUGUAAUACUUCUUCAUGGAGUAGGUUUUAUUUUUAAAGAAAUUAUGCUUUAUUAUUAUUAUUAUUAUUAUUAUGCAUCAUUUUAGAUGAAAUGUCAGGUAUCAUUUAGCUCAUUGCUUUGGCUUUGGUUUUCAGUCAGCCCAGAAGUACAGCCUCUCACUGAUUUCCUCUGUUUUAUUCAAUGCCAAUUGUGUCUAAAAGUGGCACAGUGAUAUAGUCCUCUGCAGUUCAUGGGAGCAGAAGUGUGACUUUGAGAUGAAGUAGGUUUCCUAGGGUGUGGGUCUUAGUCCACAGAGAGUUCAACGUCAGAGUCACAAUGAGGAUUGUGAUGGCCCAGGCAUUUCCUGUGGUGCUGAGGGAGAAAAAGGAGCUGCCUACUUUUUUCUCUGGCAAGUCUGAGUGAUGUUGGAGCUUAUGGCACCAGUGAUAUGGCUUCUCUUCUUUUAGGACUGUGUAAUGUGGAUGGGCCCUUCCUGAGUCCUGCUAGGAGAGUGCUACUAGUGCUGUGGCUUAUGACAGCAACGUUCAUAGCUCUUGGACUGGAGGAUCUGAACUGAACCCUGCUCUAGUAAUGCAGGAUGGCUUCAAGCUUGUUAUAGAACACACAGUGCCUGCUACCAAGAAUGUACAGAGAGUCAUUGACUCAGUCUGUGCCUGUACAGAGUUCUCGACACACAACGUGGUAAAUCACCUAACGGAGAUCGUGAUGAUUAAUUGUACAUGUAAGUUUCAUUGAUACAAGUGGUGCUCAGAUAUUUUUUAAGAAUUUUUCUAGGCAUAUCUAUGGGGAUGUUUCUGACUAGAAUAAGGGCUGACCCUUCCCUGAAUAAAAGAAAAUUUUUCUUGUCUGAAUGUAUUUGA